rnacentral:rRNA from 1 species
CAGCCACGGUAAUACGUAGGGGCCUAGCUUUGUCCGGAUUUAUUGGGCGUAAAGAGCGUGUAGGCGGACAGGUAGGUCUGCUGUGAAAACUCGAGGCUCAACCUCGAGACGUCGGCGGAAACCAUCUGGCUAGAGUCCGGAAGAGGAGAGUGGAAUUCCUGGUGUAGCGGUGAAAUGCGCAGAUAUCAGGAAGAACACCCGUGGCGAAGGCGGCUCUCUGGGACGGUACUGACGCUGAGACGCGAAAGCGUGGGGAGCGAACAGGAUUAGAUACCCUGGUAGUCCACGCCGUAAACGAUGGGUGCUAGGUGUGGGCGGUGUCGACUCCGUCCGUGCCGAAGCUAACGCAUUAA